UACGUAGGGCGCAAGCGUUAUCCGGAAUUAUUGGGCGUAAAGAGCUCGUAGGCGGUUUGUCGCGUCUGCCGUGAAAGUCCGGGGCUCAACUCCGGAUCUGCGGUGGGUACGGGCAGACUAGAGUGAUGUAGGGGAGACUGGAAUUCCUGGUGUAGCGGUGAAAUGCGCAGAUAUCAGGAGGAACACCGGUGGCGAAGGCGGUGGUCUGGGCCGGCACUGACGCUGAGGAGCGAAAGCGUGGGGAGCAAACAGG
rnacentral:rRNA from 1 species